rnacentral:ribozyme from 1 species
UUUUUUUUUUUUUUUUUUUUUUUUUUUUAUCGAUGAACCAACUCGUCGCAUUU